rnacentral:rRNA from 1 species
UACGAAGGGGGCUAGCGUUGCUCGGAAUUACUGGGCGUAAAGCGCACGUAGGCGGAUUGUUAAGUCGGGGGUGAAAUCCUGGAGCUCAACUCCAGAACUGCCUUCGAUACUGGCGAUCUCGAGUUCGGGGAGAGGUGAGUUGGAACUGCGAGUGUAGAGGUGAAAUUCGUAGAUAUUCGCAAGAACACCAGUGGCGAAAGGCGGCUCACUGGCCCGAUACUGACGCUGAGGCACGAAAAGCGUGGGGAGCAAACAGG